rnacentral:rRNA from 1 species
GACGAACGCUGGCGGCGUGCCUAAUACAUGCAAGUCGAGCGGACGAAUCGAAAGCUUGCUUUUGAUUCGUUAGCGGCGGACGGGUGAGUAACACGUGGGCAACCUGCUCUGUAGACGGGGAUAACACCGAGAAAUCGGUGCUAAUACCGGAUAACACGAAAUGUCGCAUGACGUUUCGUUGAAAGACGGCGCAAGCUGUCGCUACAGGAUGGGCCCGCGGGGCAGGGGCUAGUUGGGGGGGUAACGGCUCUCCAAGGCGACGAUGCGUAGCCGACCUGAGAGGGUGAUCGGCCACCCUGGGAGUGGAACACGGACCAGACUCCUACGGGAGGCAGCAGUAAGGAAUCGUACGCAAUGGACGAAAGUCUGACGGAGCAACGCCGCGUGAGCGAAGAAGGCCUUCGGGUCGUAAAGAUCGGUUGUGAGGGAAGAACAGGUAACGCAGUAACUGGAGUUACCGUGACGGUACCUAACGAGAAAGCCACGGCUAACUACGUG